rnacentral:rRNA from 1 species
CCCCAGACUCCUACGGGAGGCAGCAGUGGGGAAUAUUGCACAAUGGGGGAAACCCUGAUGCAGCGACGCCGCGUGAGCGAUGAAGUAUUUCGGUAUGUAAAGCUCUAUCAGCAGGGAAGAAAAUGACGGUACCUGAGUAAGAAGCCCCGGCUAACUACGUGCCAGCAGCCGCGGUAAUACGUAGGGGGCAAGCGUUAUCCGGAUUUACUGGGUGUAAAGGGAGCGUAGACGGCAGUGCAAGUCUGGAGUGAAAGGCGGGGGCUCAACCCCCGGACUGCUCUGGAAACUGUACGGCUGGAGUGCAGGAGAGGGAAGUGGAAUUCCUAGUGUAGCGGUGAAAUGCGUAGAUAUUAGGAGGAACACCGGCGGCGAAGGCGGCCUGCUGGACCGUAACUGACGUUGAGGCUCGAAAGCGUGGGGAGCAAACAGGAUUAGAUACCCCUGUAGUA